GAUACACCACUUCACUAUAUUCAAUAACUACACAACUUGAUCUCACAGAUGUAAGAUGGAAGCUGCCCAGUACACUCUAAGAAUCAACCAACAAGAAAAGUAAUUCUGAAGAGUAAUACUGAAUAUUAAUAGGAACCUAGAAAAGAUACAGAGAGCAUAGAGAUAUUCAUAAUUCAAGCUAAGAUCUACUUUUCUCUUUCCUAGUACAUAUAUCCUUAGGCAAAUGCAAAUGCUAAUUAAAUGUAACCGAAAUGAAAUGCAAUUAGUGACAGCCUGACAUGUGUCCUUCAUUCCAACCGUUAGAAAAUCAGCCUCGCAUUCCUCCCACCUGCUUUCCCACUCACUGUUUGUUGCUCAGGUCUGCCAGCUCAGCUUUGUUUUUUUCCAUUUCUUGCAUGUUUUCUUUUAUUAGGCCUCCUUCCAUUGACUUUUCCUUGCUCAUCUUGUCCUGAUAUUCUGUGAUUGUAUCAAUACUUCCCCCAUUAAGGGAUCCUUGACCCCAAGGAUCAAAUUGAGGGUAUUGCUGCAUUAUCAUUGUAGCUGAUUCCCAUGUAGCUUCUUCGACAGGAAGACCUUCCCAUUGCACCAACCAUUGUACUUCUGCAGCCUUGUUUUUCUUAACACUACGAAGUUGUAAUACAUUUGCAGGGCUUUUGGGUUGCAUUGGCGGGGAGGGUUCGUAAAUGACUGGCAGAGACAUGUCCAUUCUCGUUGGAGGUGGUCCAAAAUGAGGUUUCAGCAAAGAGACAUGAAAGGUAGGGUGGAUCUUUGAAGAGGGAGGAAGCUGUAAAGUAUAAGCAACAGCGCCUACUUUCUUGAGCACUAAGUAGGGACCAAAGAAUUUGGCUGCCAGUUUAGGUGCUGUCCGGGCUGCUACAGAGACUUGAUGGUAUGGACGGAGCUUAAGAUACACCCAAUCCCCUACUGCAAAGUCACGUUCCGACCUUCUCUGAUCUGCAAAUUGCUUCAUUCGAUUCUGGGCCCGCUCCAAAUUGUGCUUCAACAUAGCAAUAGUUUGGUCCUUGAGAAAUAAGCUCCUGUCCACUACAUCCAAGUUGCUUGAGCCUGCCAGAUAAGGGCGAUGAAUUGGGGGAGGCUGAUUAUAAACCACCUCGAACGGAGUUGUCUUGGUAGCAGUGUGGAAGCUGGUAUUAUACAAAAAUUCAGCUAAUGCCAGCCACUUAAACCAAUCCGUAGGCUUUUCAUGGCACAUGCACCGUAAGUAAGAUUCCACACAACGAUUGAGUACCUCGGACUGACCAUCAGUCUGUGGGUGAUAUGCCGUAGACAUCUUAUGUUGAACACCUUGGAGCCGCAUAAAUUCUUUCCAAAAGUGGCUUAUAAAAACCUUGUCACGAUCAGAAAUAAUACUCUUGGGAAAUCCAUGAAUCUUGUAAACAAAAUCCAAGUAACAUUGGGCGACGGUGAGGGCAGAAAAUGGGUGAGACAGAGCCAUGAAGUGUGCAUAUUUACUCAAUCGAUCAAUUACUACCAUAAUAACAUCCUUCCCUUUAGAUUUAGGGAGACCCUCAAUAAAGUCCAUUGUAACUUCCUCCCAAACAGCAGUAGGAAUGGGAAGUGGCUGUAAAAGACCAGGAUAAGCAGCCCUAUCAUACUUACAUUUCUGACAAACAAGGCAGUUUUUGAUGAAGUUGGACACAGAUGUCUUGAUGUUAUGCCAAAAGAAAAGAAUUUUCUUCAACGUAACAGUAAUGCCAGAGUGACCCCCCUGUGAAGAAUUAUGCAUCCACUGCAUAAUCAUAGUUUUUAUAGAGUCAUCAUUCCCAACCAUUAAUUUUCCCUUGCGCGUAAGCAGACCUUGUUCCCAUCGGUACUGAGGGUGUGAGGUUGGAUUGGCCUGUAGAUCCUGUACUAAUUGCAAUAAAGUCGGAUCUGUCUCCCAGUGCUUCUUUAAGUCAUUCAAAAGAGUCGAAUGAACAGAGGAAACUGCCAUGGUUAGUAGUUGGGACCCCGGAAUGCGGGAUAGAGCAUCUGUAGCUCGAUUCUCCUUACCAGCCUUGUACUCAAUAACAAAAUCGAGACCAGCGAGUUUUGAUAACCACCUGUGUUGAAAGGGAGUAGACAUCUUUUGAUCAAGCAAAUACUUCAGACUUCUCUGAUCAGUCCGGAUAACAAAUUGAUGGACAGACAAAUAGUGUUGCCACUUUUUAACAGCAAAAACAAUAGCUAGUAACUCCCUCUUAUAAGCCGAUAGUAAGGCGUUUCUGUCCGAAAAAGCCUUGCUAAUAUAAGCGAUUGGAUGUGAAUUUUGCAUGAGUACUGCUCCCAUACUCGUGCCAGAUGCAUCAGUCUCAAUGCAAAACGGUUUGGAGAAAUCUGGUAAGGCCAAUACCGGAGGAUUGGUCAUACGUUGCUUCAACAAAUCAAAGGCAGCAUGUGCUUCCGUAGUCCACUGGAAAGCAUCUUUCUUCAAUAGAGCAGUGAGUGGCCUGCAAAUAUGGCCAUAACCUUGAAUAAAUCGACGGUAAUAACCCGUCAAACCCAAGAAACCACGAAGGUGUUUGCUAUUUUUCGGAAUUGGCCAAUCAAGUACAGCUUGAAUCUUAUCCUUUUCUGUGUGUACACCGGCCCUUGUAAUCACAUGUCCUAAGUAGUGUAUCUCUGCAACCCCAAAUGAACACUUCUUAAGGUUGGCCCGUAAAGAGUUAGCAGCCAUUAGUUGCAGGACCAUGCGAAGAUGUUGCAAGUGUGCCUCCUUGUCAGGACUAUAGAUUAAAAUGUCAUCGAAAAAGACGAGAACCCCUUUGCGUAGUAGUGGCUGAAAAACAUGGUUCAUAACAGCUUGAAAGGUCGAAGGUGCGUUCGUUAAGCCGAAAGGCAUCACCAAAUAUUCAAAAUGACCGAAGUGGGUCUUAAAAGCUGUUUUGUAGACUUCCUGUGGAUCCAUGCGAAUUUGAUGGUACCCGGAUUUGAGGUCAAUCUUCGAAAAAAAUUGGGUACUAUAAAGCUCAUCCAAUAGCUCUUCGAUGAUUGGGAUUGGAAACUUAUCCUUGAUGGUAGCUUUAUUUAAGUUGCGGUAAUCUACACACAUCCGCCAACCUCCGUCUUUCUUCUUAACCAACACAACUGGUGCUGCAAAUGGACUAUUGCUGGGACGGAUAACCCCUUGAUCGAGUAAUUCUUUUACCAUUUCUUCAAUUACAUCCUUCUGCAGUGUGGGGUAUCGAUAAGCUCUCAUAUUAAUGGCGUUGGUGCCUUCCUGAAGCGGGAUUUUAUGAUCAAACCCUUUUCUAGCCGGGGGCAAUCCACAAGAUGGAGUAAACACUUCCUGAAAUUCAUCCAACACAAGUUGUAUAUCGGCAUCAGUGCUCUGUCGGCCCUCUGUAUCAAUAUCUGGAGAGUGAUUAUGUAUGGCAGAUAAUUGGGGAGAGUAGUCCACGUCCAGCGGAAUUAGUUGUAACAUUGAGAGCUCCCCUGAAUCAUGCACCAGUUUAUUCAGUUUUUGAGAUGGGAUGGUAUUCCACUUCUUAGCCUGGAUGCCCCGCAAUCUUACUUUCUGGCCAUGAUAAGUAAAUUGCAUCGUUAGUGCUGAGAAGUCCCAAAGUACCGGACCCAGUUGUGAGAACCAGUGAAUGCCAAGCACAAGAUCACUGCCACUUAGCGGUAGCAAGAGUACAUCUGCAUUAAACUCCACGCCUUGCAUUUUCCAUUUGAAGUCACGAAUGAUUUUGUUGCAAAUUAAUUGGCCCCCAUCCGCCACUUUUACUCCCAUAGGAGUAAUCUCUUCAAUGGGACAGUCCGACCUUAAAGCCUUGGCCGAGUCAAUGAAAUUGUGGGUGCUGCCACUAUCCAAGAGUAAGUGCAACCCUCUCUUGCCAUGAUGACCUGUUACGCGCAUAGUCUGGUAAGUGGAGACCCCAUCCAGAGCUUGCAAAGAAAUUUGAGCACAUUGAUUGUCCGGUGCUGCAGUUUCAGCAACCUCUAAUGUGGGUUCAAUUUCUGGAGCUUCUUCCUCCUCAACCUCCAAGUGAAAGAGCUAAGGCUUUUUUCCUUUACAUUUAUGACCUGGAGUGUACCUUUCAUCACACCAAAAACAGAUAUUCUUCGCCCUCUUGUCAUUGAAUUCAGCCGGUGUUAAUGUGCGCCUAUUAGUGUUUGUGGUUGUAGUAGUAGGCUGAUGGGUUGAAGUGUUGGCUUUGGGUGGAGGGGUAUAUUGUUUGUUGUAUUGAGGCGUAGGUAGGAGGGGUGGUUUGUGGGAGUUUUUGGUUUUCUUUGCAGAAAGAGAGGCCUCUUGAAGUUUUGCCAGGCAUAAGGCUUGUUGUAUAGAUUUAGAAGCAAACAUCCGGACUGACAGCUGAAUAUCAUCUUCUAAGCCUCCCAGGUAGCAGCUGAGUAAAUACUCCUCUGGUAGGUUUAAGCGACUAGUAAGGGCAUCAAAAGUGUCAUGAUAAUCCUGUACCGAACCCACUUGCUUCAGGGCUUUAAGAUCAGCCAUGGGAUCAUCAUAAAUAUCACCAAAUCGCACAGUAAGAGCCUCGACAUACUUAUCCCAACCCGGUAACACAUUGUUGCACCUCUUAGCCAGGGUCUGGUGCCAAAGUAAGGCCUUCCCCUCUAAGUGGAUUGCUGCGAGUUUCACCCUUUGUGGAUCUGCAAUCUCAUCCAAUUGAAAAAACUGAUUACAUUUGUAAAUCCACGAACGCAACUCAGUCCCAUCAAAUUUGGGAAACUCAAUCUUAGUCAUACGAGAAGAAAAGCUGUUGUUUCUGCCUCGAAACCCUUGAGGGGUCUGCGUAUUCUCACUGUCACCUUCAGGCCCUGCAUUAGCAGACCCACGUCCCUCGUUUGCAACGAGUUUAGAAACUUGCAUAGAUAAGCCUAAUAACAGUUCAUUUAACUCUGCUAUAGACUUUGCAUUUUGCUCAAUAUUCAGAUUGUUAUUGUUACAAGUUUGAAUCAAGCGUUGGUUUUGUGCCUCAAAGAGAGAGUUGAGAUUUACCUCAAUCCGCCGGAAAUCUGUGCGUUCUGUUUCCUCAUCUGAUACGGCGCCAGAGCGAGUGUUCUUGCCUUGUGCCAUGAGUCCAAGGAAGUGCUGGCUUGAUACCAAUGAUACACCACUUCACUAUAUUCAAUAACUACACAACUUGAUCUCACAGAUGUAAGAUGGAAGCUGCCCAGUACACUCUAAGAAUCAACCAACAAGAAAAGUAAUUCUGAAGAGUAAUACUGAAUAUUAAUAGGAACCCAGAAAAGAUACAGAGAGCAUAGAGAUAUUCAUAAUUCAAGCUAAGAUCUACUUUUCUCUUUCCUAGUACAUAUAUCCUUAGGCAAAUGCAAAUGCUAAUUAAAUGUAACCGAAAUGAAAUGCA
rnacentral:lncRNA from 1 species